UACAGAGGGGGCAAGCGUUAUUCGGAAUUAUUGGGCGUAAAGGGCGCGUAGGCGGCUUUGCAAGUGGCGGGUGAAAUCCCUCGGCUUAACCGAGGAACUGCCUGCCAGACUGUGAGGCUUGAGACCGGGAGAGGUGAGUGGAAUUCCCAGUGUAGCGGUGAAAUGCGUAGAGAUCGGGAAGAACAUCAGUGGCGAAGGCGGCCUGCUGGGCUGUUGCUGACGCUGAGGCGCGACAGCGUGGGGAGCAAACAGG
rnacentral:rRNA from 1 species